CAGCUCUCCGAGUGGUGUGGAUGUUUAUUGGGCCUAAAGCAUCCGUAGCUGGCUGGGCAAGUCCCCUGUUAAAUCCACCGAUUUAAUCGUUGGCGUGCGGGGGAUACUGCUCGGCUAGGGGACGGGAGAGGCCGACGGUAUUUCCGGGGUAGGGGUGAAAUCCUAUAAUCCCGGGAAGACCACCAGUGGCGAAGGCUGUCGGCUAGAACGCGCCCGACGGUGAGGGAUGAAAGCUGGGGGAGCGAACCGGAUUAGAUACCCGAGUAGUCC
rnacentral:rRNA from 1 species